rnacentral:lncRNA from 1 species
UAAAUCGCAGCCUUACUCCAUAAUACAAUUAGAAACAAGGACUGGAUUAGAGUGCCAAACCGAUAAAUAUUACAAUGGAAACCUUACUAUCUCCCUCUCCAUGGAAUAAUAAUAAAAAUACAAAGAGAAACAGUUGCAUCUCCAUUUAUUCAUUCGAAAAUUAAACAUUUUUCUCUCAUGAUUUUCAUUGCAAUGUACAUAUUAUGAGAGUGAAACACUGACAACCUCAACAUGGAGCACCCAUUAACAUUGUAUAUACAUGCAAAAAAACACCAGCAGUACAAGUACACACUACCAUUAGCUCUCCCCCCCCC